rnacentral:rRNA from 1 species
CGCCUGUUUUAUCAAAAACAUGGUCUUAUGAUUUAUUAUUUAAGAUCUGGCCUGCUCGAUGUUAAUAUUAAUGGCCGCGGUAUGUUGACUGUGCGAAGGUAGCAUAAUAAUUAGGCUAUUAAUUGUAGUCUUGUAUGAAAGGUUGGACAUAGGAAGUGCUUUCUUUUUUUUAUUGUUAAAAUUAAAUGAUCAGUAAGAAUGCUGAUGUGUUUUAAAAAGACGAGAAGACCCUGUUGAGUUUAAUAUUUAAGUUUAUUAUUUUGUUUGAUACUUUAAUUAGCGAUUAAUAUUUGAUUGGGGCGAUUAUUUUAUGUAAACAUUAUGUUUUUGUUUAUUUAUUUUUUGAUCCAUUAAUAGUGAUUAACAGAAUAAAUUACCACAGGGAUAACAGCAUAAUUUAUUUGGAGAGUUCUUAUUGAUAAAUAAGUUUGUGACCUCGAUGUUGGAUUAAGAUUCCUGUUUGGUGUAGGUGCUGAAUAAGGUAGACUGUUCGUCUAUUAAAAUCUUACAUGAUCUGAG